rnacentral:rRNA from 1 species
GAAAUCCUGUCUGAACAUGGGGAGACCACUCUCCAAGCCUAAGUACUCGUGCAUGACCGAUAGCGAACAAGUACCGUGAGGGAAAGGUGAAAAGCACCCCGACAAGGGGAGUGAAAUAGAACCUGAAACCGGAUGCCUACAAACAGUCGGAGCCCGCAAGGGUGACGGCGUACCUUUUGUAUAAUGGGUCAACGACUUAGUGUAACAAGCAAGCUUAAGCCGGUAGGUGUAGGCGAAGCGAAAGCGAGUCUGAAUAGGGCGAUUUAGUUUGUUGCAUUAGACCCGAAACCGAGUGAUCUAGCCAUGAGCAGGUUGAAGGUUGGGUAACACCAACUGGAGGACCGAACCCGCAUCUGUUGCAAUAGAUUGGGAUGACUUGUGGCUAGGGGUGAAAGGCCAAUCAAACUCGGAAAUAGCUGGUUCUCCGCGAAAUCUAUUUAGGUAGAGCGUCGAGCGAAUACCCCCGGGGGUAGAGCACUGGAUGGGCUAUGGGGACUCACCGUCUUACUGAUCCUAACCAAACUCCGAAUACCGGGGAGUACUACUCGGCAGACACACGGCGGGUGCUAACGUCCGUCGUGAAAAGGGCAACAACCCUAACCUCCAGCUAAGGUCCCCAAGUCAUGGCUAAGUGGGAAAGGAUGUGAGGAUCCCAAAACAACCAGGAUGUUGGCUUAGAAGCAGCCAUCAUUUAAAGAAAGCGUAACAGCUCACUGGUCUAAAUAAGGGUCUUUGCGCCGAAAAUGUAACGGGGCUGAAGCCAUGCACCGAAGCUGAGGAUUUGCGAGCAAUCGCAAGUGGUAGCGGAGCGUUCCGUAAGCUGAUGAAGGGAGACCUGUGAGGGCUCCUGGAGGUAUCGGAAGUGCGAAUGUUGACAUGAGUAACGAUAAAGAGGGUGAGAGACCCUCUCGCCGAAAGACCAAGGGUUCCUGCUUAAAGUUAAUCUGAGCAGGGUUAGCCGGCCCCUAAGGCGAGGCAGAAAUGCGUAGUCGAUGGGAACCACGUUAAUAUUCGUGGGCCUGGUGGUAGUGACGGAUUGCACAAGUUGUUCUGGUUUAUUGGAUUAUCAGGGCAGCGGAGCGGUUCCAGGAAAUAGCUCCACCGUAUAGACCGUACCCGAAACCGACACAGGUGGUCAGGUAGAGUAUACCAAGGCGCUUGAGAGAACUAUGUUGAAGGAACUCGGCAAAUUGCACGCGUAACUUCGGAAGAAGCGUGACCCCAUUUUACGCAAGUAUGAUGGGGUGGCACAGACCAGGGGGUAGCGACUGUUUAUCAAAAACACAGGGCUCUGCGAAGUCGCAAGACGACGUAUAGGGUCUGACGCCUGCCCGGUGCUGGAAGAUUAAAUGAUGGGGUGCAAGCUCUUGAUUGAAGUCCCAGUAAACGGCGGCCGUAACUAUAACGGUCCUAAGGUAGCGAAAUUCCUUGUCGGGUAAGUUCCGACCUGCACGAAUGGCGUAACGACUUCCCCGCUGUCUCCAACAUAGACUCAGUGAAAUUGAAUUCCCCGUGAAGAUGCGGGGUUCCUGCGGUCAGACGGAAAGACCCCGUGCACCUUUACUAUAGCUUUACACUGGCAUUCGUGUCGGCAUGUGUAGGAUAGGUGGUAGGCUUUGAAGCGGGGACGCCAGUUUCCGUGGAGCCAUCCUUGAAAUACCACCCUUAUCGUCAUGGAUGUCUAACCGCGGCCCGUCAUCCGGGUCCGGGACAGUGUAUGGUGGGUAGUUUGACUGGGGCGGUCGCCUCCGAAAGAGUAACGGAGGCGCGCGAUGGUGGGCUCAGACCGGUCGGAAAUCGGUCGUCGAGUGCAAUGGCAUAAGCCCGCCUGACUGCGAGACUGACAAGUCGAGCAGAGACGAAAGUCGGUCAUAGUGAUCCGGUGGUCCCGCGUGGAAGGGCCAUCGCUCAACGGAUAAAAGGUACGCCGGGGAUAACAGGCUGAUGACCCCCAAGAGUCCAUAUCGACGGGGUUGUUUGGCACCUCGAUGUCGGCUCAUCGCAUCCUGGGGCUGGAGCAGGUCCCAAGGGUUUGGCUGUUCGCCAAUUAAAGCGGUACGUGAGCUGGGUUCAGAACGUCGUGAGACAGUUCGGUCCCUAUCUGCCGUGGGUGUAGGAAUAUUGACAGGAUCUGUCCCUAGUACGAGAGGACCGGGAUGGACAUAUCUCUGGUGGACCUGUUGUCCUGCCAAGGGCAUAGCAGGGUAGCUAUAUAUGGACGGGAUAACCGCUGAAGGCAUCUAAGCGGGAAACCCACCUGAAAACGAGUAUUCCCUAUCAGAGCCGUGGAAGACGACCACGUUGAUAGGCCGGGUGUGGAAGUGCGGCAACGCAUGAAGCUUACCGGUACUAAUAGCUCGAUUGGCUUGAUCGU